GUGGGGAAUCUUCCGCAAUGGACGAAAGUCUGACGGAGCAACGCCGCGUGAGUGAAGAAGGUUUUCGGAUCGUAAAGCUCUUUCGUUAGGGACGAACGUGCUCUUUGUGAAUAAUGAGGAGUAAUGACGGUACCUAAAUAAGAAGCCACGGCUAACUACGUGCCAGCAGCCGCGGUAAUACGUAGGUGGCAAGCGUUGUCCGGAAUUAUUGGGCGUAAAGUGCGCGCAGGCGGGAUAUCAAGUCUGUCUUAAAAGUGCGAGGCUCAACCUCGUGAGGGGACAGAAACUGGUAUUCUUGAGUGUCGGAGAGGAAAGUGGAAUUCCAAGUGUAGCGGUGAAAUGCGUAGAGAUUUGGAAGAACACCAGUGGCGAAGGCGACUUUCUGGACGAUGUCUGACGCUGAGGCGCGAAAGCUAGGGGAGCGAACGGGAUUAGAUACCCGUGUAGUCC
rnacentral:rRNA from 1 species